UCGAGGAUCUUCGGCAAUGGGCGCAAGCCUGACCGAGCGAGGCCGCGUGGGCGAUGAAGGCCUUCGGGUUGUAAAGCCCUGUCGAGGGGGAGAAAAGCCGAAAGGUGUGAUCUAUCCCUGGAGGAAGCACGGGCUAAGUUCGUGCCAGCAGCCGCGGUAAGACGAACCGUGCGAACGUUGUUCGGAAUCACUGGGCUUAAAGGGCGCGUAGGCGGGCUGUCAAGUCCGGGGUGAAAUCCUCCAGCUCAACUGGAGAAUGGCCUCGGAUACUGAUGGUCUCGAGGAGGAUAGGGGCACACGGAACUGUGGGUGGAGCGGUGAAAUGCGUUGAUAUCCACAGGAACUCCGGUGGCGAAAGCGGUGUGCUGGAUCCUUUCUGACGCUGAUGCGCGAAAGCCAGGGGAGCAAACGGGAUUAGAUACCCCCGUAGUCC
rnacentral:rRNA from 1 species